GAGACACCCUUAUGUGGCAUGACUUGCUUCAGUGGGGCUUUGGUGCUCACUGAGUCUGCCCCUUGAGUGUGUUGCU
rnacentral:pre_miRNA from 1 species